ACCAAAAACUAAACCAAAUUACCACCACCACCACCAAAAAACAAACAAACCCCAGACCAAAAACCAACUAUCCAAACAAAAAGGCUCAUUUAGCUCACAGUUCAGGAGGUUCAAGGGGCACGGCUGUUCACCGGCAUCGACUCAGUUCUGGUGAGACUUUAUAGUGGAUGAAUAAUAGCAUGUGAAAGUCACAUGGCGAGACUAGAAGCUGGAGGGUAACCAGUGAGGGCCAGACCUGCUCUUUCAUAACAACCUCUCCUGAAAACAAGUGAGGGUCUCAUGAGAACUUUACCAAUUCCUCCCAAGGGCAACUCCCCACAACCCAAUUAUUUGACACUGAGCCCUGCCUCUUAAAGCACACACUACUUCCCUGACAUUGCCACCCUAGGGACCAAGCUCACAGCACGUGGACCCUGGAGACACACUGACACUGCAAGGGAAUCCUAGCCCUUCCUGAUGCAUGUUAGCUCAUAUGGAGCUGGAACGCCCCAUCUGCUGCAGCUGACCUCCCCAGGUCUCAGUAAUUCCCUCCCGGCCAGCUUGCUUGCCUUUGCACAUGGUGACUUUGGAUUGCUCUUCUUUGCUUGAGACCUGUGUGUUUUCAACACUGUUGUCCAGGGCCAUCCUAGUCUGGCUCCAGGUCAGCUCUGGUCCCAAAUAUUUAAGAACCUAUGAGGUGCCAGGGUUUUGGACUUGGUUAGGGGAAUUCAGAAAAUAUGGAUGGCUGGUCAUUGAAAACAUUUAGCCCAGAGUGAUCUCUCUUCAAACUUGUACUUAAAAUACACACGGAAGUACUGAAAAUGGCCAAAAACCAAUGCAAGAAUGCCCAGGAACAGGGUCAACAAUGGCUAGCUUUGACCAGGGCUCCCAUUAUCUUCAGCAACAAUGAGGGAUCCAGAAGUACAAUUGGGGACAUUUUCAUUGUUAGUGGCUCAGUUGGCCAGAGGUGGAAGAAGCCUUGACUCUAGUCAAGGUUUAAAGAAGUCACUGAGCCCAGCUGAGCAGUCCCUUUCUUCUGGGUGCCUGUCAGUCUGGACUCUUGUCUCCCAUCCUGCUUGCUAUAGAGACAGACAGACAAAAGCUCAGGCAGGUGACACUGCAUGGUAAAAGGUGUAGGACAAUAGUAAGUACACUGCUGCUGGCAGAGCCCAGACAAGCCUGGCUUUGCCUUCCAGGUAGAACUCUGGGUGAAAGAAUGAUCCCCUAAUUCACAGGAAUUCACUUUCCCCAGGAAUGUCAGAAAAAACUGGUUCUCUCAAAUGGAAGGUCACACAAAAGCAAGUGCCUGACACUGGCCAUGGCAUUGGGCCUGGAGAGAGCUGGCUUUGCUUUUAGCUUUAGGUCCCCAGGGGGUACUUUAGGGGACCAGGGGUCAGGGGACAGGCAAAGAAAGUGACCCCAUCCCAUGCUCUCACCCGCAAAGGUCUUCUUUAUGGAGUCAUUUGAAUAGAAACACUGAACCAAUGAAUGUGGUCUGAACUGCACACACUGAUUACAGCUGAAAAUACAAUUUUUGAAAAUGUUAUUUUUAGGAAGAAAUAAACAAUGAUCUAAGGAUUGGCAUUUCAUGCUUUCCAUGAGCUAUAAGGAUAUAUGUAAUUAUUAGGUUUGCUAAGGGUGACAAGAAGGACAAUAGGGUGAGGGACAAGCCCAACUGGAAAGGCCAUCUCUGGUAGAGGGGAAGGCUAUCCAGUUGUUCACUGCCCACAGAGCUUGGUUCUCCAUUUGGCAGUGAGGGAGAACAGAGCUGCUGAAGGAGAGGCAAUCUAGACUUGCUGGAAGCCCCAAGAAAGAGUAAAGGGUGAGGGCUGUAAUGUUAUGGAGGCUGGAGAGAGGAAGUGACGUUUGGAGGCUCAGGCUAGUGUGAGGAAGAAAGUGCAAGUGGGAAGAAGCAAUAAUCAAAGAUACAGUGUUUUCGAGACAGGGUUUCUAUCUUUUGAGACAGGGCUUCUAUCUUUGGAGCCUGUCCUGGAACUCACUCUGUAGACCAGGCUGGUCUGGAACUCACAGAGAUUCAUCUGCCUCUGCUUCCUGAGCACUGGGAUUAAAGAUAUGUGCCACCACUGCCUGGCAAAGACAAAGGAUUUGAAAACUCCCAGACUGAGGGUAAAGAGCUUGGUCCAGAGAGUAACUUCAGUAAAGAUGUGUCAUUUAAGCUGAGGGACUCAACCUUCAGUGGUUAAUUCAGCCAGUGAUUCAGAUGCACAGAGAAGCAGCCAGUCUGAGACUUAGUGUGGAGUUGGACCAUCCUGUCUGCAAAUGCAGUCCAGUCUGAGAGCUAGUGUGCAGCUAAGACCAUCAUGGCAGCAAACUCAGAAGACAAUGGCGCAAGUUCAAAGCUUUCAGAAAGAUCAGUUUUUUUUAUUUAUUUAUUUUUAAUUUCUUUUACGUGACAACAAAGCCUUUCUGGUGUGUAAGGACUCUGGAAGUAUACCAAGUGUCACAGCACUGUAGAUGAGGGAAGAAUCAAAUACAAGUACCCAGGACCAGAUAUGCCAACUCUUAGCAUCUCCACAGAGUGAAGAAGCUGAUAUCAGAAUGAAGGCUGAAGUCACAGAAUAAACAAGGACCGUGGUGUGCUGCUGUGACAACCCAACCUGAUGGAGGGUUACAGACUGAGACACUGACUUUGGAGCCAAGGGAAUGAAGACAGACAGACUUCCUGCUAGAUUUUCCUCAGAACUCACAGCAAAAUUUAGUGAGAACAUGCAGCCAUGAGCUCUAAAUGAUGCGUGCGGUGUGCCAUUCGUCUCCCAGUGCGAGCAUCACAUACAUCUGAGGACUGCAGCUCAGAGCGGGAAAGCCUACGCUUCCUAGUACUCUUCAAAGCCACAAGUCAAGAGCCAGCUUUGCCUGACAUCCCGGCCCCAUGCAGAGGUUUGGCGCUGGUGCCCCUGAUGUCACUGGUAUGAGGUGCCAAGUUCAGAGUCUGAGGGCAGCGAGUCUGGAUUAUGACUGCUGUCACCUUGCCAGAAGCCUUAGCCCCAGCUGACGACCAGAAUUACCUAAGGACUGGUUUGACAUUCCACGUUAUUGAGUUCAUCCUGGAAGCUUAUAAGACUAUGAACAAUAUAGACCCAGGAUGCCGGAUGGCUGUAAUGAGACUGCUCUGUGUGAUCCUGCUCCUGCUGAAUGGGAUGUCAGUGAGAUUACUGGCUUGCAGAAGGGAACAACGGCAGAAAGGUGACAUGCAGUUUUAUCCCGUGUUCUCCCUGAGGCUGGGUAGACGAUGGUGCUGCUGGUAGUACUGGAAUCAAAUCAGAGGAUUUGGGGGAAGACAAACAUAGUAAGAUCAUUUUGUUUGAGUCAUUAAUACAUCCCUUUGGACACAUACAUCCAGUGUGGAGUAAUCUGCCAGCUCACUGAGUUUUAGGUCUGGUAUUUGGGACCAUGAUCUGUGUGGCUGAUACAGGAGUCAGGACUGUGAAUGCUGCAGACAAGGACGGUCGUAAGCAGUGCGUAUAAACAGCUAGCUCCCUCCCCAUUUGUGUGGGUCUCUCUCCAUUCAGAGAAGAGCCCAUAUAAUUAGCUCUGUCCUACCAGUUCUCUUGGGGAGAAGCUGCUCUGUGCUGGCCCACUUUCUAUAGAUGUGGGUGUGACAUCCAUGGUUGCUACAGGUCAUGUUGUUGGUGCUAGGAUCUGUGAGAUUGAGUCACACUGAAACCAGUGACAAUUGUCUACCCAGAGCAAUAACUCAUAUGUCACACACAUAGAAAAGUCAACCCAUUUAGGAGGUACUCAAAAACUGAUCUAAAAAAGAUGUACAGUAAGGAUAAUGAACUGAGAUUGUUUCCCAACCUGUAAAAAUGCUGGGCAAGUUAAUCUCACCCCAAUAUAUUCCGUGUCCUUAUCUGCAAGGGUAUAAAAGUAAGUGCUUUCUCAGAAAGUUACUCUGAGGGUUACAUGAGCACACUUUUGCAUACAUAUAUAUCUAUAUUUGCAUAUAUGUAUGCUCAUGCACAUAUAAACACAUGAUGCUUGGAAUAACCUCUGACACACACACAACUACUUAAUAGCUAAUUCCUUUUGGUCAAAGUCAUGGGCUGUUUUGUGGCCUGUGAUGAACUGAAACCCACAUUUGUACUGGAUGGUGACUAGAGCCUCCUGCCACUUUAUCUUUCUUUGUUUUAGAGUCUCUCCCUACCCUCAGUGGAAAGAGGCUUAGGCUGGGAAAGAAACUACUGGCUAGUGUUUAUUCUCUUCUUCUUGUAAAAUGAUUGCAAAAUUACUUGCUUUCCUGUGCUCCCAGCUUCGCUGUAGAACAAAACAAGCUUAGUGGAUGAUGCUGCAUCCAUGUAGACUCCCAUCAAGACUGUAAUAGUCCACACUUAGGGCUGAGUUCUCAGUUAAAUAUUUCUCUGGGAAUUUUCCCCACCUUGCUCUGGGUUGCUGUCUUUUUCUGAGAAGCCAGCAUCUAACGUCUUGAUGAAGAAAGAGGUAGAAAGGCCCAGACCUCUGUUCUGAAGAUGGAUGACUACCAGAUGGCCACUUGAGACUCUCCCCUUGAAAUGUGAUUGCCAAUCUGCCACUCCCGAGACUCUGUACGCAGAUCUCAGAGAUUUCUGUGAAUCCCAUCAGCAAGGCACCGUGAUACUUAGUACCAGCAAGGUUCCUGGAAACUCCGUCUAGAGCUGGAUGUUAAAGAUAGGUCAUGCAGAUAGGUGAUGAAGACCACAUCACUAGGCACGUGGCCAUCGACAGACUUGGUGUGAAGCCGAGGCCUCGAGGAACCAUGGCAUGGCGUGUGCUGGAAGGAGGCAUGCUGGCAGGUGCAGCAAGCAGUUCAGGCUCCUGGGGCCAGAGAUGGUCAGCAUGAGGUCUUUGGCAUCAGGCGACCGCUGCUGGGGACAUCAACGCCUUGGAGAGGAGAUAAACAAUGAAGUCUGGAGGAUGAUGGAUCACCAAUGUGAGGCAGGCAGUGAGAAACCCAGAGGACCUCUGGCAUCGAAAAGUGACUUUGAUUUAAAUGUGUGAGCACCAAGCAGUACUGGAGCUGGGAGGAACCUUGCCUUUUUGCACUGGUCAGUCCACCACAUCAAGAUUAGGGCUUAGACUGGAAAGCAGUGACAUGCCACGUGUAGAAUCAGAGUUUCUCAGGUAAAUACAUCGUGGGAUUUCUUGGUUAUAUGGCAGUAGUUAGGUUUAAUAUUUAAGACACCUCCACACUGAUUUCUAGAGUUUGCCUGCUGUUUUCUUUCCAGCCAGCAAUGUGUGAGAGUUGCAGGUGCAGCACAGUCCUUGCCAAGGCUUCUGGCGUUCAUCCUCAGGCUUAGCCAUCCCAGCUUCUCUGUAGUAUCCCACUGUGGACUCGGCUUGCAUCUCCCCAGUGAUUAACACUUUGAGGUCUGCUUCACAGGUACAUUUGCUGUGCUAUAACUGUUGGAUUUUGGAUACAGGAGAGAUGGUUCAGCAGUUAAGAGCAGUGGCUGCUCUUCCAGAGGACCUAGGUUCGAUUUCCAGCACCCAUAUGGUGGCUCACAACCCUCUCUAACUACAGUUCCAAGAGAUCUGUAGCUCUCUUCUUGUCUCCUUGGACACUGCAAAUAUGGUACACAGACAUACAUUCAGGCAAAACACCUCUACACAUAAAAAUUGGAUUUCUACGCUUUAUAUUGAGUUGCAGGGGUUCUUUAGACACUUGAACUCUUGGUGAGAAGUGGGAUUUGAGGGCUGGCUAGAUUUUUCAGCAGAGAAGUAUGCUUGUAACCCUAACGACCUGAGCCGGAUUCCUGGGACCCACCUACAGGUGGAAGGAGAGGACCAACUCUACAAAUGUGUUCUCUGACAUCCACUUAUGCCCUGUGGCAUUGUGUCCCCCCAAUACAAAUAUACACAAUAAUAAAAGAAGACAAAAGAAUA